UACGUAGGGUGCAAGCGUUAUCCGGAAUUAUUGGGCGUAAAGAGCUCGUAGGCGGUUUGUCGCGUCUGCUGUGAAAACCCGAGGCUCAACCUCGGGCCUGCAGUGGGUACGGGCAGACUAGAGUGCGGUAGGGGAGAUUGGAAUUCCUGGUGUAGCGGUGGAAUGCGCAGAUAUCAGGAGGAACACCGAUGGCGAAGGCAGAUCUCUGGGCCGUAACUGACGCUGAGAAGCGAAAGCAUGGGGAGCGAACAGG
rnacentral:rRNA from 1 species